rnacentral:tRNA from 1 species
UAGCUCAGCCGGUAAAGAAUCUGCCUGCAAUGCAGGAGACCCAGGUUCUAUUCCUGG